rnacentral:rRNA from 1 species
AUUGAACGCUGGCGGCAUGCUUUACACAUGCAAGUCGAACGGUAACAGGCCGCAAGGUGCUGACGAGUGGAGAACGGGUGAGUAAUGCAUCGGAACGUGCCCAGUCGUGGGGGAUAACUACUCGAAAGAGUAGCUAAUACCGCAUACGAUCUAUGGAUGAAAGCGGGGGACCGUAAGGCCUCGCGCGAUUGGGGCGGCCGAUGUCAGAUUAGGUAGUUGGUGGGGUAAAGGCUCACCAAGCCAACGAUCUGUAGCUGGUCUGAGAGGACAACCAGCCACACUGGGACUGAGACACGGCCCAGACUCCUACGGGAGGCAGCAGUGGGGAAUUUUGGACAAUGGGCGCAAGCCUGAUCCAGCAAUGCCGCGUGCAGGAAGAAGGCCUUCGGGUUGUAAACUGCUUUUGUACGGAACGAAACGGCUCUGGUUAAUACCCGGGGCUAAUGACGGUACCGUAAGAAUAAGCACCGGCUAACUACGUG